CAAGUUCUCGCCCUCGCGGGUAGAUCUCCCACCCACUGUUAUUGCUACCGUGUUGCUUUGGCGGGCUGCUGGGCCUAGCCCGGCCGCCGGCUCCGGCCGGCGCGCGCCCGCCAGAGGCCCGACAAAUUCUGAUUGUCAGUGUCGUCUGAGUACUAUAUAAUAGUUA
rnacentral:misc_RNA from 1 species